AUGCAUAAGGGGAAGAUUGACGAGAUCGAUCAGCAUUUCUCCAGUUUUCAUGGCUAUAAGUCGCCCCAGUACUGCACGGAGACGUGGUACCAGGUGAGCGUGGACACGAGUCCGGCUGUGACGCCCAGCAGCAUCCAGUCUGAUGGUAUACAGGAGGAUGUGCUGAUCACGCCAAUCACACCGAUUGUGCCGAUCGGGCCAAUCACGCAGUACGUCACCUGCCCCAAUGGACAACAGUCUGUUCAGACCAGCUGCACUCCUAUGCCUUACUGCCGUGGCCCCGCCCCCUACUGUGAGGAAGACACGCCCCCUCCAGACCCUGGCCCCGCCCACCCGGAGCUCAUGUCUGUCCCAGGCAUGGACUACAGCAUGAUUCUAAACUCUGCUCCCUACUGUGAGGAAGACACGCCCCCUCCAGACCCUGGCCCCGUCCACCCGGAGCUCAUAAGCCCCGCCCCCUACUGUAAUGUAGCAUUGCAUCAGUGUCUCAGCAGUGGAUGCUCAGCAGUGAAUGGGUGCCGUCAGAAUGAGAGUCCAAACAGCUGAUAAAAACAUCACAAUAAUCCACAGCACUCCAGUCCAUCAGUUAACAUCUGGAGAAGACAAAAGCUGAAACAAAUCCAGCAUUUAACUUCAAACGAUGGUCUGAGGACGAGCACAUUUUCAGCUUUUGGGUGAACUAUUCCUUUAAAAUGAUGUCAAACAAAAACAGAUUAAAUUUGAUUGAAGAUCACAAUGAUAUAAAUGUUAUAUUUUUGACUAACAUGCGUGAAGAAUUGUACAAAGGCCAUUUUUCACGGUUCACAUGAAAUGUUGCUCUAUAUUUUGAGAAAAAAGGUCGGGAAGUCAAUCUGGAUUAGUAAACACUUAUGAACAUUAUGAUAUUAAACACACAGGGCUUAUGACAAACCCACACAGCGGCCCAAUAUGUUCAACGAUUCGACGGAGCGAUCAAUGUAAUGAAAACACAAGCAAACGCUGCAGGCUGUUACCGAACCGAGUUUAAUCUGCACACAGUUCAAUGUUAUAACCAAUCCCAAAUGAGCAGGCGACCCAUGGACGAGGUGAAUGAAGCUCUGUGCUUGUAGUAGGUUAAAGAGAACAUGUUAGCAUAUCCUUAACACUUACAGCUGCAGCGAUGGAGACAGUGUGUAAACUAAUUAGGCUUAAUGUAUGUCACAGCACUGACACCAAACACACACACACACACACACACACA
ensembl:lncRNA